UGUCUACUUGGAAAAAGGCUGUAUGCAUGCUUAAUGCGUAUUUCCCCCCAAGUUCGGUGAAUGACCACAGAGACUUUGACACAGAAGCCCCUUCUAAACACUAACCACACCAGCAGGAAACCAACACUAACUCUCAAUAUUACUACGUUAGAAUGAACUCAUGAAGAGCAAUUUCAGAAUAUUUACAGUGUCAUUUACAUUUAUUAUUUUUUUUCUUUUGCUAGAAAUGUAUGUAAAAUAUUAGCUAUGUACAUAUACAUUAUAAGCUACUAUUUUAAUACAUUAAACACUUUUAAUUUAACAAUUUGUUAAUUAUGUAUUACCAGAAGCAUUAAAAUGAGGUGAAAGUGAAACAGACUUUACACAAAUUAAACACUGUAGUCACUGAUGUAAUAGUCAGUCAAUAUAUCAUUUGCAAAGUUCAUUCAUUAUUUAUUUUAUUCUUCAUUAUGUGAACAUCUUGGUACUUUCCACUGUAAGACACACCUGCACUAGCAGUGACCGUGCUCUCAUGAUCAUGUAAACAACUGAAUUUAAGAAAGCUGUGAAUGUUUCUUUUUAAACACAAUGGUUGCCCAUGAGAUGAUGAGGGGGUCUUUUGUUUCCGAGCGGACAGGUGAUAGUUUUGCGGUAGGAAGCUCUGAUGCUUAUUUUCCCCCCUGUGAGUGUUUAUAAAAGUGUAAGUAGUGGUGAGCUGAGGUAAUACGCAUCAGACUCACAAGAGAAGAUGAGGUGUGUUUCGGUAACCCUUCUGCUGUGCCUGGCUACAAUGCUGCUCGCUCAAGUUAACUGCCAAAUAAGUGGCCGGGCAAAUUGCCUUUGUCUCAAGACAUCAAAUCGGGUUCCUCGCAAGGAAAUAAUUGAAUGCUACAUGAUACAAAAUGCAGGCGUCUGCCAUAUUGAUGCUAUUUUAUUUAAAACUGUCAGAGGUCGUUUUGUUUGCGCUGAUCCAAAAAUCCCUUUGGCCAUUGUUGCCAGGAAUUAUGUGGAUAACAAGAAAAAGGCAACAAAAGCCCUUCCCGUAAACUCUGCAUCAAUAUUUAAAACAGCAUCAAUGCUGAAUACCACAUCACGAUGGAAUACAACGGGAUGAACUAAGAACUACUUCAGUUGAUCUAUCCAAAUUUUUAACAUAUAUCUGUGAUGUUUGUGUUGGAUUUUAUGUUAUUUGCACAUGGUUCA